rnacentral:misc_RNA from 1 species
AUACUUUCAAAAAAUAAAUUAAAUUGAUAGAAGCAUAUCAGAUGCCGCUACUUUUAAAAUGCAUUAAAUUAUACGGUGAUAUUUUGUAAGUCUGCUUUAUUUUUUAAUGAUUUUUCGGGAUUUUUUUUAAUGGCAUUAAAAUAUGAGAUACUUGAUUAACAAGUAUUGAAUGUAGUGGUAAGACUCAAUGCCCUACCUAGGAGAACUCAAGUUCGAUCCUUGAAGAGCGCAUUAUUGGGAGGAGUAGCCACAAACUCUAUAAGGAUUAGUUUUCUGUGAACCGUAAAACGAAUAUAAAGAUAUCCUAAUGUAAAAAAAAAAAAAAAAAA